UUGCUAGAAACAUAAAUUUUAAAGUUACAAAAUUAUAAAAAAUAGGUUUGUUCGGAGCCCUCGGAGCGCGAGUCCGACUCUCACUUGGCCGGUUUUUUGCUUUACAGUUUGCAGUUAAUGAAUAAGGUUUAUGUUGAUAUGUGAUAUUAUGAUAACAAGGUACUUUUAUUAGACUGAUAAAUAAAGAGAAGUAUUGAAAUUUUGUUUCUUUAUUAAUUUAUUAAAAUAAUACACAAGCCGCGUAAAAUAAAAGAGGCCCAUCAGGUACUUUUACAGUUACUUUUGUUUAAUUUCGUAUUUUUUUCCGAGGUAUUAUAAAAGAACCGGGUAACCCGGUUCUACCCGGUUCUGAGCUCGAUUUGGAACCGGGUUUCAGAAACUUGGAACCGGACUCGGUUCUGCAUGCCCUACUGCACACUCAUGUGGCUGACUCAGCUGAACACUUUUUAUGCACACUUGUAUGUAUUGUUUACUCUUUUAUGGCAUUCUACGAAGGAUAUCAUAAUUUUACUUUGCUAUUAUUUCAUCAUAACAAGGGUAAAUAUUUACAUAUACAUGUAUCUUUUUAGAGAUAUGAUUGUCCUGUAAUGAGUUCAUUAUCUCAAAUCCGCUUUCACCUUUAUUGAGCAUCCGCCUAGCGGCAGCGACACAGGGACGGCAUCAAGAAACCGGUUUCCCGAACGAGCGCCGUCCCCGCGCCCCUCCUCAGAGCGGAGGCCCCGCUCUCUUUUACCUCGAGCGUCGUACACGACACACGCCACCUAUAGGCGUGCUAUUGUCUUUUUUCACUGAAUAUUUUGUACGAGUAAUUAUUAUCAAAUAUACACAUCGAACCUUUAA